AACGUAGGACGCGAGCGUUAUUCGGAGUUACUGGGCGUAAAGCGCGGGCAGGCGGUCUGACAAGUCUGAUGUGAAAUCUCCGGGCUUAACCGGGAGAGGCCAUUGGAAACUGACAGGCUGGAGGGCAGUAGAGGUAGGCGGAAUUCCGGGUGGAGUGGUGAAAUGCGUAGAGAUCCGGAGGAACACCAGAGGCGAAGGCGGCCUACUGGGCUGCACCUGACGCUGAGCCGCGAAAGCCAGGGGAGCGAACGGG
rnacentral:rRNA from 1 species